GCUGUGGGGUCCCAAAAUCGUGACCCCGGCCCCUCUCCCCUCCUCCCCCACCAUGUCCCAUGUCAGGAUCAGUUCGAGGUGCUCGAGCGCCACACGCAGUGGGGGCUGGACCUGUUGGACAGAUAUGUAAAGUUCGUGAAAGAACGCACCGAAGUGGAACAGGCUUACGCCAAACAACUGCGGUGAGACCCUGGGGUGGACGCUACGGAGGACGCGCCUGGGGCGACGGGGAGCGGUGGGAGGGCUGCGGGCUCAGCCCUCCUACCUCUGUCUCCCCUUAGGAGCCUGGUGAAAAAAUAUCUGCCCAAGAGACCUGCCAAGGAUGAUCCUGAGUCCAAAUUCAGCCAGCAACAGUCCUUCGUACAGAUUCUCCAGGAGGUGAAUGACUUUGCAGGCCAGCGGGAGCUGGUGGCUGAGAACCUCAGUGUCCGUGUAUGUCUUGAGCUGACCAAGUACUCACAAGAGAUGAAACAGGAGAGGAAGAUGGUGAGGAGCCCCCCGAUUCAGGUUUUACAAAGGGCUUCUGCUGGAACCCUGGCGAGCCUUAUCACUCUUCUUUCUGUAGCACUUCCAAGAAGGGCGGCGGGCCCAGCAGCAGCUGGAAAAUGGCUUUAAACAGCUGGAGAAUAGUAAGCGUAAAUUUGAGCGGGACUGCCGGGAGGCAGAGAAGGCAGCCCAGACUGCUGAACGGCUAGACCAGGAUAUCAACGCCACCAAGGCUGAUGUGGAGAAGGCCAAGCAGCAAGCCCACCUUCGGAGUCAUAUGGCCGAAGAAAGCAAAAACGAAUAUGCAGCUCAACUCCAGCGCUUCAACCGAGACCAAGCCCACUUCUAUUUUUCACAGAUGCCCCAGAU
rnacentral:sRNA from 1 species